rnacentral:misc_RNA from 1 species
CAAGAAGCCGUAAAGGCUACUUAAAACCAUCGCGAACUUAUCCAAGUUGCUUCGGCGGCGCGGCUCCCCUCACGGGGACCGCAGCCCCGCCUCUCAGGAGGUAAGGGCAGCCGCCGGAGGUACGAAACUCUGUAUUAUAGUGGUAAUCUCUGAGUAUAAAACAAUAAGUUA